rnacentral:rRNA from 1 species
GGUUAAGCGACUAAGCGUACACGGUGGAUGCCCUGGCAGUCAGAGGCGAUGAAGGACGUGCUAAUCUGCGAUAAGCGUCGGUAAGGUGAUAUGAACCGUUAUAACCGGCGAUUUCCGAAUGGGGAAACCCAGUGUGUUUCGACACACUAUCAUUAACUGAAUCCAUAGGUUAAUGAGGCGAACCGGGGGAACUGAAACAUCUAAGUACCCCGAGGAAAAGAAAUCAACCGAGAUUCCCCCAGUAGCGGCGAGCGAACGGGGAGCAGCCCAGAGCCUGAAUCAGUGUGUGUGUUAGUGGAAGCGUCUGGAAAGGCGCGCGAUACAGGGUGACAGCCCCGUACACAAAAAUGCACAUGCUGUGAGCUCGAUGAGUAGGGCGGGACACGUGGUAUCCUGUCUGAAUAUGGGGGGACCAUCCUCCAAGGCUAAAUACUCCUGACUGACCGAUAGUGAACCAGUACCGUGAGGGAAAGGCGAAAAGAACCCCGGCGAGGGGAGUGAAAAAGAACCUGAAACCGUGUACGUACAAGCAGUGGGAGCACGCUUAGGCGUGUGACUGCGUACCUUUUGUAUAAUGGGUCAGCGACUUAUAUUCUGUAGCAAGGUUAACCGAAUAGGGGAGCCGAAGGGAAACCGAGUCUUAACUGGGCGUUAAGUUGCAGGGUAUAGACCCGAAACCCGGUGAUCUAGCCAUGGGCAGGUUGAAGGUUGGGUAACACUAACUGGAGGACCGAACCGACUAAUGUUGAAAAAUUAGCGGAUGACUUGUGGCUGGGGGUGAAAGGCCAAUCAAACCGGGAGAUAGCUGGUUCUCCCCGAAAGCUAUUUAGGUAGCGCCUCGUGAAUUCAUCUCCGGGGGUAGAGCACUGUUUCGGCAAGGGGGUCAUCCCGACUUACCAACCCGAUGCAAACUGCGAAUACCGGAGAAUGUUAUCACGGGAGACACACGGCGGGUGCUAACGUCCGUCGUGAAGAGGGAAACAACCCAGACCGCCAGCUAAGGUCCCAAAGUCAUGGUUAAGUGGGAAACGAUGUGGGAAGGCCCAGACAGCCAGGAUGUUGGCUUAGAAGCAGCCAUCAUUUAAAGAAAGCGUAAUAGCUCACUGGUCGAGUCGGCCUGCGCGGAAGAUGUAACGGGGCUAAACCAUGCACCGAAGCUGCGGCAGCGACACUAUGUGUUGUUGGGUAGGGGAGCGUUCUGUAAGCCUGUGAAGGUGUGCUGUGAGGCAUGCUGGAGGUAUCAGAAGUGCGAAUGCUGACAUAAGUAACGAUAAAGCGGGUGAAAAGCCCGCUCGCCGGAAGACCAAGGGUUCCUGUCCAACGUUAAUCGGGGCAGGGUGAGUCGACCCCUAAGGCGAGGCCGAAAGGCGUAGUCGAUGGGAAACAGGUUAAUAUUCCUGUACUUGGUGUUACUGCGAAGGGGGGACGGAGAAGGCUAUGUUGGCCGGGCGACGGUUGUCCCGGUUUAAGCGUGUAGGCUGGUUUUCCAGGCAAAUCCGGAAAAUCAAGGCUGAGGCGUGAUGACGAGGCACUACGGUGCUGAAGCAACAAAUGCCCUGCUUCCAGGAAAAGCCUCUAAGCAUCAGGUAACAUCAAAUCGUACCCCAAACCGACACAGGUGGUCAGGUAGAGAAUACCAAGGCGCUUGAGAGAACUCGGGUGAAGGAACUAGGCAAAAUGGUGCCGUAACUUCGGGAGAAGGCACGCUGAUAUGUAGGUGAAGUCCCUCGCGGAUGGAGCUGAAAUCAGUCGAAGAUACCAGCUGGCUGCAACUGUUUAUUAAAAACACAGCACUGUGCAAACACGAAAGUGGACGUAUACGGUGUGACGCCUGCCCGGUGCCGGAAGGUUAAUUGAUGGGGUUAGCGCAAGCGAAGCUCUUGAUCGAAGCCCCGGUAAACGGCGGCCGUAACUAUAACGGUCCUAAGGUAGCGAAAUUCCUUGUCGGGUAAGUUCCGACCUGCACGAAUGGCGUAAUGAUGGCCAGGCUGUCUCCACCCGAGACUCAGUGAAAUUGAACUCGCUGUGAAGAUGCAGUGUACCCGCGGCAAGACGGAAAGACCCCGUGAACCUUUACUAUAGCUUGACACUGAACAUUGAGCCUUGAUGUGUAGGAUAGGUGGGAGGCUUUGAAGUGUGGACGCCAGUCUGCAUGGAGCCGACCUUGAAAUACCACCCUUUAAUGUUUGAUGUUCUAACGUUGACCCGUAAUCCGGGUUGCGGACAGUGUCUGGUGGGUAGUUUGACUGGGGCGGUCUCCUCCUAAAGAGUAACGGAGGAGCACGAAGGUUGGCUAAUCCUGGUCGGACAUCAGGAGGUUAGUGCAAUGGCAUAAGCCAGCUUGACUGCGAGCGUGACGGCGCGAGCAGGUGCGAAAGCAGGUCAUAGUGAUCCGGUGGUUCUGAAUGGAAGGGCCAUCGCUCAACGGAUAAAAGGUACUCCGGGGAUAACAGGCUGAUACCGCCCAAGAGUUCAUAUCGACGGCGGUGUUUGGCACCUCGAUGUCGGCUCAUCACAUCCUGGGGCUGAAGUAGGUCCCAAGGGUAUGGCUGUUCGCCAUUUAAAGUGGUACGCGAGCUGGGUUUAGAACGUCGUGAGACAGUUCGGUCCCUAUCUGCCGUGGGCGCUGGAGAACUGAGGGGGGCUGCUCCUAGUACGAGAGGACCGGAGUGGACGCAUCACUGGUGUUCGGGUUGUCAUGCCAAUGGCACUGCCCGGUAGCUAAAUGCGGAAGAGAUAAGUGCUGAAAGCAUCUAAGCACGAAACUUGCCCCGAGAUGAGUUCUCCCUGACUCCUUGAGAGUCCUGAAGGAACGUUGAAGACGACGACGUUGAUAGGCCGGGUGUGUAAGCGCAGCGAUGCGUUGAGCUAACCGGUACUAAUGAACCGUGAGGCUUAACCUU